AACGGAUAUGGGGUUAAAAUGCGGAACGGAACGGAUAUGGGGUUAAAAUGCGGAACGGAACGGAUAUGGGGUUAAAAUGCGGAACGGAACGGAUAUGGGGUUAAAAUCCAUCUGGUGGACGGGAAAUUUGAUUGGUUGAUCAGCAUCAUGAAAGAUUUUGAUUGGUUGCAAGUUCAUAUACUAUGAUAUUUACUUUACAAUUUACAAUUUAUUCAAAAACCGAUCUUGCAGCCAAGAAGCUGAAUUACAACGGUUACAUUUUACAAAAGAAAGGUUUAAGUUAAUUAUACUAACUAUUACUGCUUAAAAAUAC